CAGCGUCGGGUUUCUCUAAAUAUCUCCCGAUGAGCAACCGACAAGAGUUCUGACACUGGGCGGACGGAGAUUGGAUCCCCGCCCGCCCAUAACCCCGCACGGUGUACGCCGUCGAACCCGCCCGCAAGGGCUGAGGAUCGACGGCGUUUUGUUUUGUCCCCCCAAACCCUUCUUUUCGGACGACCCCACCCUCGGGGACGGCCGAAAAAACGUCGCCGCCGGGCUGC
rnacentral:misc_RNA from 1 species